rnacentral:rRNA from 1 species
CAGUAGCCGCGGGAAUACGGAGGGUGCUAGCGUUGUUCGGAAUCACUGGGCGUAAAGGGCGCGUAGGCGGCCUGUUAAGUCGGAUGUGAAAGCCCGGGGCUCAACCCCGGAACUGCAUCCGAGACUGGCAGGCUUGAGACCGGGAGAGGAGGGUGGAAUAUCCAGUGUAGAGGUGAAAUUCGUAGAUAUUGGAUGGAACACCGGUGGCGAAAGCGGCUCUCUGGCCCGGAUCUGACGCUGAGGCGCGAAAGCGUGGGGAGCAAACAGGAUUAGAUACCCCUGUAGUCCCUGUCUCUUAUAA